UUUCCGUAGGUGAACCUGCGGAAGGAUCAUUCAUAAUAAAGUGUUUUAUGGCACUUUUUAAAAAUCCAUAUCCACCUUGUCUGCAAUGUUAGAUCUCGUCAAUCUUGGCGAGAUUUUUAUACAUCAACUCAUUCUUUAACUAAUUUGUCUGAAAAAUAUUAUGAAUACUUAAUUCAAAAUACAACUUUCAACAACGGAUCUCUUGGCUCUC
rnacentral:misc_RNA from 1 species